rnacentral:rRNA from 1 species
UGGCCAGACUCCUACGGGAGGCAGCAGUGGGGGAUAUUGCACAAUGGGGGAAACCCUGAUGCAGCAACGCCGCGUGAGUGAAGAAGUAUUUCGAUAUGUAAAGCUCUAUCAGCAGGGAAGAAGAUGACGGUACCUGAUUAAGAAGCCCCGGCUAACUACGUGCCAGCAGCCGUGGUAAUACGUAGGGGGCAAGCGUUAUCCGGAUUUACUGGGUGUAAAGGGAGCGUAGACGGCAUAGCAAGUCUGAAGUGAAAGCCCAAGGCUCAACCAUGGGACUGCUUUGGAAACUGUGCGGCUAGAGUACUGGAGGGGCAGGCGGAAUUCCUAGUGUAGCGGUGAAAUGCGUAGAUAUUAGGAGGAACACCAGUGGCGAAGGCGGCCUGCUGGACAGUAACUGACGUUGAGGCUCGAAAGCGUGGGGAGCAAACAGGAUUAGAUACCCUAGUACC